rnacentral:rRNA from 1 species
AGUGAACGCUGGCGGUAGGCCUAACACAUGCAAGUCGAACGGCAGCACAGGAGAGCUUGCUCUCUGGGUGGCGAGUGGCGGACGGGUGAGGACUACAUCGGAAUCUACUCUGUCGUGGGGGAUAACGUAGGGAAACUUACGCUAAUACCGCAUACGACCUACGGGUGAAAGCAGGGGACCUUCGGGCCUUGCGCGAUUGAAUGAGCCGAUGUCGGAUUAGCUAGUUGGCGGGGUAAAGGCCCACCAAGGCGACGAUCCGUAGCUGGUCUGAGAGGAUGAUCAUCCACACGGGAACUGAGACACGGUCCAGACUCCUACGGGAUGCAGCAGUGGGGAAUAUUGGACAAUGGGCGCAAGCCUGAUCCAGCCAUACCGCGUGGGUGAAGAAGGCCUUCGGGUUGUAAAGCCCUUUUGUUGGGAAAGAAAUCCAGCUGGCUAAUACCCGGUUGGGAUGACGGUACCCAAAGAAUAAGCACCGGCUAACUUCGUGCCAGCCGCCGCAGUAA